rnacentral:lncRNA from 1 species
CUGCAUUUUACCAAAACACGUCACGGGGCGCCCGGCUGUCGGCGGCGUGAGGCCAGGCUGUCUGUGCUGCCCGGGAGACCCCUGGUUGCAUCCAUCGAGUGGACGAAGGGAGAGUCACUCAGCGGGCUGGGGGCCACUGGAGCUGGUGGCCGAGGUCUGAGCUCGGCUGUAACGAUGAGUCAGGGGCCUGGACCGAGAAGGGGAAGCAGCCAGGCGAGGCCGGCCCCAGUUCCUAGGACGAUUGGAUCAAUGGAAUAGGAUAAACACAUGAGCAAAUGAAUGAACGAAUGAUGGAGCCUGCGUCCCGGAUGACAGUGCAGACAGGCCCAGCUUGCGGCCGCUGAGGAUAAGCGGGGAUCCCGAGCCAGCAGCCAGGGCCAACCUUGAACUCAGCCGAGAGGAACGCCGGACUCCUCUCCAGCUGGAAGGCGUAGCCGGCGGGUUGAUGAGCCCGCUCUGAGUAAACGCUCAGCGCUUUUGUUCAGGGGAAGGGAAAGUCAGCCCCUGCCCGGUUGGAUCGGUGUCUCCUCCGCAGACGGCAGCCCAAGGCCUCUACAGCUUCCGCGGGUCAGUCGACAAGAAAAGAUGCCACGGCUGCGAGAAUGCAGCCAGGGAC